UCCUUCUCUGCUAAGCCCCUGAUUUUUUUUUUUCCAAAAUUUUGCUUUUCUGCUAGCUACCAUGUUUGUAUUUUCCUAGAAUUAUGAAUAUGUGCUGAAGGAUAUUGUGUUUUUCAGUUUGAAUACCAAACAAAUGGACUCCAAUAAUUGCUUUUUAAGUUUUGCUUUUAUGCUAGUUGGAUGUUUUGUGAUGGUAUACUAGUUGGUGUUAAACAAUGUUAUCAACUUUCUGAGAAUUUGAACUGAUUAUUACCAAAAGAGGAAUAACUUGCUUAAGUCUUGUAAUGGGAGGCCACUGUUGACUGAAGGUCUGUUGUAUUGCUUAGAAAAGGAGGGAAUGAGGUAACAGGCAGAAGGGCAUUUCUAUCAGAGGUUGUUGCCUAUCGCUGCUUUACCGAUUAAUCUCCAUGUUCCAAAAGGCAUUAGCCUUUAUAGAGAGAGAGAGAGAGUAAAUAAAAUCAAUUUCUGGGGUUUCCGUCUGUUUUUGGUUAUGUCUACUGAUCUAAUGGUUCCUUGUUCAUUUCUGCUGGGUUCUUGUUCUUUAAUAUCUUUUUAGUGUCUAGUGCAACUAUUUGGGUUGCUUAUUUUAGGAUCUGAUCGAACUUUCUUGGUGUUUAUGGUUAAAUCUUUUUUUCCUACUGUUUUCAUCAAAUUUAACUUACAUAAAUUGUCAUCAAACAAACAACAGCGCUUGUUUAUGAAAAAGCAAAAACUGGAAAAAACCAAAAAUGAUUUAGCAUAUAUACACUCAGAUCUGUCUUUCAUCUGUGUGUGUGUGUUUUAAUGUGUUGAUGAAUGUGCAUAGAGGCGCAGUGAUGAUUAUGUAGAUCACCCGGGCUAACUAAUUUGGGCAUGGAGAUCACCCGACCCGUAUCUUGGCGUGGCAACCCUGUAUGGCCUGUGAUUGAGACACAUAUCACACACAUGCAUUUGGUGUUUUGCAGUCAUGGCGUGGUUGGCUUCUCUUUUACUACAAUAACAACAACAACAUAUGCAGUGUGGUUUGCUUCUCUUUUGCCUUAGCAUAACACUAAUCUGAGCCUCAAUUUGCUAAAGAAAAUAGGGAAAAGGGUCAAAUUUAUCCCUCUAGUAUGCAAAAAGUGGCAGUAUCUUUUCCAUGAUUCAUGUGGGAGAUAUUGAAUCCACGCCCUUAUCGUUAUUAUUACCUUUUUUUUUAUUUUUUUUUUAUUUUGAAAAUCAUGAAUAUGUGCUGGAGGAUAUUAUGUUUCUCAGUUAUAAAACCAAACAAAUGGACUCCAAUUUUCUGUCUUAAAUUCUUGCCAACCCUACUCUGCUGCUAACUUGUUUAGUUUCCAUCUCUUUUGCUGGAAAAAUCCUCAGUUCUUUGUGAUUAUACAAGCUAAUAUAAGUUGUUUUAUGCUUCCCUUGUGAUAAUAGCUGGGUGUUUUGUGAUGGUAUACUAGUUAGUGUUAAACAUUGUUAUCAACUUUCUGAGAAUUUUAACUGAUUAAUUAGCAAAAAAUGAAAAACUUUCUUGAGUCUUGUAAUGGGAGGCCACUGUUAACUGAAGGUCUGUAGUAUGGCUUGAAAAAAGAGAGAAUGAGGUAACAGGCAGGAAAGAAUGAGAUAAAUAUCUGUCUUUUAAGACAAAAAUAUUUAAUGUCAAAUAAUAAGAAUAUAUAAAAAAGUGUGUGAUAAGAAAUAACCUUAUUAAAAAAGUUCAUGAUAAGAAAAAACUAAUUCUAGAAAAGGUAAUGUACUAACUUAAGCUGUGCGUGCACAAUUUUGCCGAGAUUACAGAGGCCAAAUGAAUUCCACAUUACUAGGCCCAUUUAUCAACAUCCAAACCACUUUAAUGCCCUGCUUGGUUACAAGCCCACGUUACCAGGCUCGGCGGUAAUGUACUUGGAUAUCUUAAAUGACAUUUGAGAUUUUGCUUUUUAUCCUCACCCUUUCAUCUUGUUUGAUCUUCUUUCUUGUUUUGUUUCUUUUGUUGAUGGAUGCUCUGGCCUUACUUCUGCAUCAUAAACAGAAACUGGAAUCCUAAACUCAAGAACAAGAAUGAGGCUGCAUGGGAGAUGAAAAGUUUCUAAGGGUGUUGCCUCCCAUCUGCAUGCCUGUGAUGCCUGUGUUCUGCUACUGUCAAAGCAGCAGCCCUCUUUCAUGCUUAGCUAGCGCUCUCAUGGUUAUUCACAAUCUGCUCUAAAGGGGCUAUGAUGAUGCUUAUAUAUCUUUCUAUUUCUGGGAUGAUCAUUGAGCAUUGAACUGACCUGACCCGUAUCUUGGCGUGGCAAUCGGUUUUUGCAGCCAUGGCGUGGCUGGCUUCUCUUUUGCCUAAUCAUUAUAUGCAUCUGAGCCUCAAUUUGCUGAAGAACGUAAGUAGGCGUUUGGAUAAUAAGCUGAGAAUUCUCUUAGAUGCAGACUAUUGAGCUCAAGAAUGAGGCAUUGGAGUGAAAUGUGGGUUUUUUUCGUAGCGGUGGUUCCCUUUCUUCUCUUGAUGGUAUAUAACUCAUAUACUGGCUUGGCAAAUAACUGGAUUAGCCAGUGAAUUCAGUUGUUCUCUUUCACAUGCAACUCGUGUUUUUGCAGCCAUGGUACCUUCUCAUUGCCUGAUCUUUUCUGCAGAUCUGAGCCUCACAAUUCUUUGGCACCUGCAAUUUUUUAUCCAAAGCACACAUAUUGCGCCAAACUUUUUGCUUAAUCUUUAGUAUUCAAAUAAAAGAAUGAGGAAAUAUGAGAAUUUUUCUUAAGAUAGGUUGUUCUUAGUUUUUAACUUUCCUCUUCCAUGCGAUAAUUAGCUUGAAGUUGGAAGAAUCAUGGCUGAAUGGUACUGUCUAUUACUUUUUUUUUUUUUUUUUUCCUAUGGCUUUGAUUCCCUUUGUGCAUAUCUUCUAUUUUCUUGUUCUUUGUUGCCUUGGCUUUCAGAUUGUUCCUUUGAAGCGGUAGAAGAUGUUUAAACAGCAUUUGCUGGAGUACAUGUAAAAGGGGCUGUGAUGAUCCUUCUAGUACCUUCUAAUUAAUGAGCAUGACGACUAGACCUGUAUCUUGGCUUGGCAACUCAGUGUGGCCUGUGUUAAGGGUUAUGAUCGAGAAUGCGAGCUUCAGGUUUCCGAGAAGAAAAAAGGAUUUUGCACUCCUAAAGUUUCACCAUGCUUGUUGAACUUGUUCCUGUGUGGCUGUGUUUUCAACAAGCAUCGAUCUGAACCGUAGGCAUUGAAGCUCCUCUUAUAACUUACCAGAUAAUUGAAGCUCCCAUUUCUUACUGGUGAUAUUCAUGAAAAAUAUGUAGUUGAUCUCACCUUUCUUUAGCUAUUUCACCUUGAUUUUCAGAAAUAGGCAUGACCUGCUAGCUUGGUUGUCAAAAUUCAUCUUUUAUCAUGUAUCUCCUAGUUUACUAUUUAUAACUAAAUAGUGGCUACUGUCUUUAUUCA